UGGCACUUGGCCAUUUCACUGGAAUCCUAAAAAUAGAAAAGAAGGGGAUCUGAGAGGAGUGGGGGAGGCUCUGCUAGGGUUUUGCGCGCAGCCUCCCUCCAUGAACGUUGACAGUGCGGCGGAUCGCUACCAUGGUGUCGUCGAGGCUAAGGUGGCUAGUUGGUCAUAUAAAGGGAAGGAGACGAUGGCUAAAGAGAGAAACGGAGAAAAGUAGAGGGUUAUUGCCACCACCAAAAAUCGUUUUCGACGGUGGUGCAUGGUGGUGUUUAUGAUGGUUCGUCACGGUCGCGCAUGGUAAGGGUCCACGGAAGAGGCUAAAGGACGAUGAUGCCGCCAUCGAAAAUUGCCUCUGACGACGACGUGUGGCGGUGCACGACGAUACUCGUAUUGGCCAGAAAUUGCCUCCGACAGCGGUGCACAGCGGUGCACGAUGGUGUUCACGGGAAGCACCGUUGCAUUCCCUGUUGGUGCCAAGUUCAUGCUUUUGGAAGAUAUAUGACAGAAGCAUGCUCUUAGGAACGUGUUGGUGGCUAUGGCAGAGAAGUUCAACAAGCUUGUUGGAGGAGAAUUAAGAGUAACAGAAAAGUGUAGGAUGGUAUAGAUUUUGUUGGAGGAAGAUAGUUAUUAUUAUUAUUGUAUAUAUUUUUAUUUAAGUUAAAAUCUGAUUUGUAAAUUACUUGUUAUUAAAUUAUUAAUUUGGAAAUUUUGA